UCGCGAAAAUAGCAAAACUGUUGAUCGUGAGUUUGCUUUUAUAAACAAGUUAAUCUAAGGAUAUAAUUAUUUUUCAAAAUUUUGAUAAUGUAUUCUUCAAACUGGAUAUCAGAUGAUAUUUCAAAAGUGAAAAAGCAUGCUUUGUCAUCUGUAAUGUAAUCAAUCUUUCUGGUGUAAUGGCUAUGGUAUAAAGUAUACAAGAAUCAUUAGAUGACCACCUCUAUUUGGAUUAUCAUAUCCGAUGUUAUAAAGUUCAACUGAAAAGUCAGAUACCAUGUCACUUGUUGUGUCCUGACCAACAACAGAUAUUCAAGAUUUGAAAAAGGUAUUUAUUAUAAAACUGUUAUGUACUUUGGAGUAUACUGAAGAAGCUUCAUCAAGAAAUUAAUCGAAACGAAAGAGUUAUGUUUCAUGUUUUUAUAUAAUUCUAUCAAAAUUGAGUAGUUUUAAAGGCAUCAAUUAAAGAACGUUGCAAUAUCAUACACAAACUUACAAUAGACAUUGAUGAAAAGAUAGUGGAAUAUAAGUAUUAUUGAAAUAAAGAC
rnacentral:lncRNA from 1 species